rnacentral:lncRNA from 1 species
AGCCGCAGCCGAGCGGCCGUGGGCCCGGGCGGCGGGCGGAGACGUGGGCGCCCUCCCCGCCAAGGCCCGUGCGAGAGUCCAUAGAGGCCACUGUAUUCUAUUGAAGAACAUGUCUAACAGUAACACUACUCAAGAGACCCUGGAAAUAAUGAAAGAAUCAGAAAAAAAACUGGUGGAAGAAUCUGUAAACAAAAACAAGUUUAUAUCUAAG